AGCCUUGUGCAGUGGCAAUAUCGUAAUCAAUGAAGUUCUACUGAGAUGCGAUUAUUGCUAGUUGAAAAUUAUAACUGAAUAGUUAGGUUGUACAAGGUUGAAAGUUAGCUUAGCCCCAAAUAUCUACACUUUUCCAGGGUAU